rnacentral:pre_miRNA from 1 species
CACCGACGAGGACGGGCCCCGCGGAUUCCGCGGGGCCCGUCCUCGUCGGUG